rnacentral:rRNA from 1 species
CCUACGGGAGGCAGCAGUGGGGAAUAUUGCGCAAUGGGCGAAAGCCUGACGCAGCGACGCCGCGUGAGGGAUGAAGGUCUUCGGAUCGUAAACCUCUGUCAGCAGGGAAGAACGGUCACUGUGCUAAUCAGCAGUGAAUUGACGGUACCUGCAAAGGAAGCACCGGCUAACUCCGUGCCAGAAGCCGCGGUAAUACGGCGGGGGCGAGCGUUAAGCGGAAUUACUGGGCGUAAAGCGCUCGUAGGCGGUAUGUCAAGUCAAGGGUGAAAUCCCCGCGCUCAACGUGGGAACUGCCUUUGAAACUUGCAAACUGGUGUGUGUGAGAGGAUAGUGGAAGUCCAGGUGUAGGAGUGAAAGCCGUAGAUAUCUGGAGGAACGUCAGUGGCGAAGGCGACUAUCUGGCACAUAACUGACGCUGAGGAGCGAAAGCGUGGGUAGCAAACAGGAUUAGAUACCCGAGUAGUC